rnacentral:lncRNA from 1 species
UAUUGGUUCUGGUAUAGAUGGUGGAGCAGAUGGAGACAUGACUUUCGUAACGGUUAUCACUCAUGUCCUGCCAGAUAGAUUGUGCUCAGUCACCUUUACAUUAAACUUGUGUGUUUAUCAUAUGGUGUUGAGCAGAGCUUGCGGAUCAGGCACCUCAAAACCAUCAUUUUUAUUUCCAUUGCCCUAAAAUGUGUAAAUAUUGUUGUCGGCUAUUAUGUAAUUUUUCAUAGCUGUUUUGUAGUGUUGUAAAAUACUUUAUAAUGACAUAAAUAUCUAUACUAUUAUUUAUGAAG